rnacentral:rRNA from 1 species
GACGAACGCUGGCGGCGUGCCUAAUACAUGCAAGUAGAACGCACAGUUUAUACCGUAGCUUGCUACACCAUAGACUGUGAGUUGCGAACGGGUGAGUAACGCGUAGGUAACCUGCCUGGUAGCGGGGGGUAACUAUUGGAAACGAUAGCUAAUACCGCAUAAUAUUGAUUAUUGCAUGAUAAUUGAUUGAAAGAUGCUAUUGCAUCACUACCAGAUGGACCUGCGUUGUAUUAGCUAGUAGGUGAGGUAACGGCUCACCUAGGCGACGAUACAUAGCCGACCUGAGAGGGUGAUCGGCCACACUGGGACUGAGACACGGCCCAGACUCCUACGGGAGGCAGCAGUAGGGAAUCUUCGGCAAUGGACGAAAGUCUGACCGAGCAACGCCGCGUGAGUGAAGAAGGUUUUCGGAUCGUAAAGCUCUGUUGUAAGAGAAGAACGGGUGUGAGAGUGGAAAGUUCACACUGUGACGGUAUCUGAACAGAAAGAGACGGCUAACUACGUG